AGCGUACAAGGUGGAUGCCUUGGCAAUCAGAGGCGAUGAAGGACGUGCUAAUCUGCGAAAAGCUUGGAUGAGUCGAUAAGAGGCGUUUAAUCCAAGAUGUCCGAAUGGGGAAACCCAGUAGAUGAAGAAUCUACUAUCACUUACUGAAUUCAUAGGUAAGUGAGGCAAACCGGGAGAACUGAAACAUCUAAGUACCCCGAGGAAAAGAAAUCAACCGAGAUUUCGUUAGUAGCGGCGAGCGAACGCGAAGGAGCCUGUUAGUGAUAAUGACAGAGACAGAGGAACAAGCUGGGAAGCUUGGCGAUACAGGGUGAUAGCCCCGUACUCGAAGUCCAGGUCAUGGUACUAAGCUAACGACAAGUAGGGCGGGACACGUGAUAUCCUGUUUGAAGAUGGGGGGACCAUCCUCCAAGGCUAAAUACUCCUGAUUGACCGAUAGUGAACCAGUACUGUGAAGGAAAGGCGAAAAGAACCCCGGUGAGGGGAGUGAAAUAGAACCUGAAACCUUGUACGUACAAGCAGUGGGAGCCCUUUAAGGGUGACUGCGUACCUUUUGUAUAAUGGGUCAGCGACUUAUAUUUUGUAGCGAGGUUAACCGAAUAGGGGAGCCGAAGGGAAACCGAGUCUUAACUGGGCGUCUAGUUGCAAGGUAUAGACCCGAAACCCGGUGAUCUAGCCAUGGGCAGGUUGAAGGUUGGGUAACACUAACUGGAGGACCGAACCGACUAAUGUUGAAAAAUUAGCGGAUGACUUGUGGCUGGGGGUGAAAGGCCAAUCAAACCGGGAGAUAGCUGGUUCUCCCCGAAAUCUAUUUAGGUAGAGCCUUGAGCGGACACCUUCGGGGGUAGAGCACUGUUUCGGCUAGGGGUCCAUCCCGGAUUACCAACCCGAUGCAAACUACGAAUACCGAAGAGUGAUACUCAGGAGACACACGGCGGGUGCUAACGUCCGUCGUGGAGAGGGAAACAACCCAGACCGCCAGCUAAGGUCCCAAAGUCUAUAUUAAGUGGGAAACGAAGUGGGAAGGCUUAGACAGCUAGGAUGUUGGCUUAGAAGCAGCCAUCAUUUAAAGAAAGCGUAAUAGCUCACUAGUCGAGUCGGCCUGCGCGGAAGAUGUAACGGGGCUCAAAUAUAGCACCGAAGCUGCGGCAUCAGACGAAAGUCUGUUGGGUAGGGGAGCGUUCUGUAAGCGGAUGAAGGUGGUUCGAGAGGGCUGCUGGACGUAUCAGAAGUGCGAAUGCUGACAUAAGUAACGAUAAAACGGGUGAAAAACCCGUUCGCCGGAAGACCAAGGGUUCCUGUCCAACGUUAAUCGGGGCAGGGUGAGUCGGCCCCUAAGGCGAGGCUGAAAAGCGUAGUCGAUGGGAAACGGGUUAAUAUUCCCGUACUUGGAUAAACUGCGAUGUGGGGACGGAGCAGGUUAGGUUAUCGCACUGUUGGAUAUGUGCGUUUAAGUUGGUAGGUGAGAAGUUUAGGCAAAUCCGGACUUUUUUAACACUGAGAGAUGAUGACGAGGCUCUACGGAGCUGAAGUAACCGAUACCACACUUCCAGGAAAAGCCACUAAGCUUCAGGUUUAUCUAAACCGUACUGAAAACCGACACAGGUGGUCAGGUAGAGAAUACUCAGGCGCUUGAGAGAACUCGGGUGAAGGAACUAGGCAAAAUAGCACCGUAACUUCGGGAGAAGGUGCGCCGGCGUAGAUUGUAGUCCCUUGCGGGCGAAGGUUGAACCGGUCGAAGAUACCAGCUGGCUGCAACUGUUUAUUAAAAACACAGCACUCUGCAAACACGAAAGUGGACGUAUAGGGUGUGAUGCCUGCCCGGUGCUGGAAGGUUAAUUGAUGGUGUAAUCGAAAGAGAAGCUCCUGAUCGAAGCCCCAGUAAACGGCGGCCGUAACUAUAACGGUCCUAAGGUAGCGAAAUUCCUUGUCGGGUAAGUUCCGACCUGCACGAAUGGCAUAAUGAUGGCCAGGCUGUCUCCACCCGAGACUCAGUGAAAUUGAAAUCGCCGUGAAGAUGCGGUGUACCCGCGGCUAGACGGAAAGACCCCGUGAACCUUUACUAUAGCUUGACACUGAACAUUGAAUUUUGAUGUGUAGGAUAGGUGGGAGACUAUGAAGUAGUCACGCCAGUGAUUAUGGAGUCGUCCUUGAAAUACCACCCUUUAACGUUUGAUGUUCUAACGAAGAUUACGAAACGUGGUCUCGGACAGUGUCUGGUGGGUAGUUUGACUGGGGCGGUCUCCUCCCAAAGAGUAACGGAGGAGCACGAAGGUUUGCUAAUGACGGUCGGACAUCGUCAGGUUAGUGCAAUGGUAUAAGCAAGCUUAACUGCGAGACAGACAAGUCGAGCAGGUACGAAAGUAGGUCAUAGUGAUCCGGUGGUUCUGAAUGGAAGGGCCAUCGCUCAACGGAUAAAAGGUACUCCGGGGAUAACAGGCUGAUACCGCCCAAGAGUUCAUAUCGACGGCGGUGUUUGGCACCUCGAUGUCGGCUCAUCACAUCCUGGGGCUGAAGUAGGUCCCAAGGGUAUGGCUGUUCGCCAUUUAAAGUGGUACGCGAGCUGGGUUUAGAACGUCGUGAGACAGUUCGGUCCCUAUCUGCCGUGGGCGUUGGAGAAUUGGUUGGGGCUGCUCCUAGUACGAGAGGACCGGAGUGGACGCACCACUGGUGUUCCGGUUGUGUCGCCAGACGCAUUGCCGGGUAGCUAAGUGCGGAAGAGAUAAGUGCUGAAAGCAUCUAAGCACGAAACUUGCCAAGAGAUGAGUUCUCCCAGAUUUAAAAUCUGUAAGGGUUGU
rnacentral:rRNA from 1 species